rnacentral:rRNA from 1 species
CAGUCGCCGCGGGAAUACGAAGGGUGCAAGCGUUACUCGGAAUUACUGGGCGUAAAGCGUGCGUAGGUGGUGGUUUAAGUCCGUUGUGAAAGCCCUGGGCUCAACCUGGGAAUUGCAGUGGAUACUGGGUCACUAGAGUGUGGUAGAGGAUAGUGGAAUUUCCGGUGUAGCAGUGAAAUGCGUAGAGAUCGGAAGGAACAUCUGUGGCGAAGGCGACUAUCUGGGCCAACACUGACACUAAGGCACGAAAGCGUGGGGAGCAAACAGGAUUAGAUACCCGAGUAGUCCCUGUCUCUUAUAC